GGGGAAUUUUCCGCAAUGGGCGAAAGCCUGACGGAGCAAUACCGCGUGAGGGAGGAAGGCUCUUGGGUUGUAAACCUCUUUUCUCAGGGAAGAACACAAUGACGGUACCUGAGGAAUCAGCAUCGGCUAACUCCGUGCCAGCAGCCGCGGUAAUACGGAGGAUGCAAGCGUUAUCCGGAAUGAUUGGGCGUAAAGCGUCCGCAGGUGGCUGUGUAAGUCUGCUGUCAAAGAGCGAAGCUCAACUUCGUAAAGGCAGUGGAAACUACACGGCUAGAGUGCGUUCGGGGCAGAGGGAAUUCCUGGUGUAGCGGUGAAAUGCGUAGAGAUCAGGAAGAACACCGGUGGCGAAGGCGCUCUGCUAGGCCGCAACUGACACUGAGGGACGAAAGCUAGGGGAGCGAAUGGGAUUAGAUACCCCAGUAGUCCUAGCCGUAAACGAUGGAUACUAGGCGUGGCUUGUAUCGACCCGAGCCGUGCCGUAGCUAACGCGUUAAGUAUCCCGCCUGGGGAGUACGCACGCAAGUGUGAAACUCAAAGGAAUUGACGGGGGCCCGCACAAGCGGUGGAGUAUGUGGUUUAAUUCGAUGCAACGCGAAGAACCUUACCAAGGCUUGACAUGUCGCGAACCCCACUGAAAGGUGGGAGUGCCUUCGGGAGCGCGAACACAGGUGGUGCAUGGCUGUCGUCAGCUCGUGUCGUGAGAUGUUGGGUUAAGUCCCGCAACGAGCGCAACCCUCGUUUUUAGUUGCCAGCAUUAAGUUGGGCACUCUAGAGAGACUGCCGGUGACAAACCGGAGGAAGGUGGGGAUGACGUCAAGUCAGCAUGCCCCUUACGCCUUGGGCUACACACGUACUACAAUGCUACGGACAGAGGGCAGCAAGCUAGCGAUAGCAAGCUAAUCCCAUAAACCGUGGCUCAGUUCAGAUCGAAGGCUGCAACUCGCCUUCGUGAAGGAGGAAUCGCUAGUAAUUGCAGGUCAGCAUACUGCAGUGAAUUCGUUCCCGGGCCUUGUACACACCGCCCGUCACACCAUGGAAGCUGGCAACGCCCGAAGUCAUUACUCCAACUCUUCGGAGAGGAGGAUGCCUAAGGCAGUGCUGGUGACUGGGGUGAAGUCGUAACAAGGUAGCCGUACCGGAAGGUGUGGCUGGAUCACCUCCUUUAUAGGGAGACCUACACCCCUCAAAUAUUGAAAGCAAAGUGCAAAUAAAUAUUGAGAUGGUCAAACCUAGGUCGGUCGAGGUUGGUAAAUAGCUUUCAAAGUAUUAGUGGUUCAGUACACAUGUUUAGUUAAAAACUAAGAAGAAUUCAGCAACAUGGCUAUUGCCAGACUGCUGGGUAUUAUAUCCAGCCAGAACCUUGAAAACUGCAUAGGAAUGCGAAAUAUUGCAGGCAGACACAGGCAGAGGCAGUUUUUCAUGGGGGAAACCCCAUGAGAAACUGCCGAAUUGAAAGUGUUUGCGAAUGUAAGCCGAAAAGUAUAGUGGUCAAGCUAAUAAGGGCUGACGGUGGAUACCUAGGCACACAGAG
rnacentral:misc_RNA from 1 species